rnacentral:rRNA from 1 species
UACGAAGGGGGCUAGCGUUGCUCGGAAUCACUGGGCGUAAAGCGCACGUAGGCGGAUUGUUAAGUCAGGGGUGAAAUCCUGGAGCUCAACUCCAGAACUGCCUUUGAUACUGGCGAUCUCGAGUCCGGGAGAGGUGAGUGGAACUCCGAGUGUAGAGGUGAAAUUCGUAGAUAUUCGGAAGAACACCAGUGGCGAAGGCGGGCUCACUGGCCCGGUACUGACGCUGAGGUGCGAAAGCGUGGGGAGCAAACAGG